CCUUACUUUCAUAAAACCUAUAAAUAUAUCGCCCAUGUUCUCUUUAAUGGACGAUAGUUGGCAAUUUCUCAGUUUUAUUUCUCUGAUUUGAGUGAGGCGGCUACAAACAGUCAGUUCAGGCAAGAUGCCUAUGUGUUUCUCGGAAGCCAAUAAAGUAAUGAAAAGAGGAUAGACAAAUCCAGGAAUCAAUUAAUGUGCAACUAUUCAACACCUUAAAAAAAUGAAGUAUCUAGCUUAAUGUUUUGUAUUUCAUAUGAAGGAGCAACCCUUACUUCCGGUUUGGAGAAAUCCAUGUUUCUAUUAGAUUUACGGAGCAAACCGUGUUUGUUGAGGUCGCUGAAACCGAUUCCAGUGGAGAGUUUUGGGUUUUGCAAUUACUAACACCUUAUGGUAUUGGCCAACACCAACACAGAUUUUUUUUUCCAGGCCGCCUUUUCCUCAAUGCAACCUCCGGAACACAUUUCUACUUUUACCAAGAAAGUGUAACCAGCCAGAGCUUUCUACAAGACUAAGUUUUGUGGAUCUGACAUUGAUAGCUCCUCCACUCCUUCCAAGUAUGGCGGUGUACAGAAAAUUGAGUUAGCAACAAUUGUGGAGUUUAUUGUCUGUGUCGUGAAUUCACCACCUCAGGCGGUACGGUAGAAUUCCACUGCACUGGCCAAGUCGAUGACAUUGAGAAAACUGACGGACCAAUGCUUCAUCAUUAAAGCUUUGCUUACAAGGAGGUGGUGACUACCCUGGAAAUGAUAUUCUGGAUGCUGUGACUCUCACUAUUAACCCUCUCAUGUGAUGGGGAGCAGUGGUUCACAUAAUACCACAUGAAGUAACACUGCUCCAAUUUUUGAAGGAAGCAUGGCUGAGUCAGCAGUACUACCUGCCCAACCUGAUGCAUUUUUAGCACCCGAAAGGAUACCACAGAGCCUGAGAUCUCCAACCAUAGAGAUCCAUGACAAUAUUAAUAUAGGUGAAGAACUAAUUCCACACUGAACGUGCUAAGUUUGAGUCAAUAAUUUUUCUACAUUAUAUAGAUUGUCGUCUUUUUAGUUUGCUUGGUUAUAUACUUAUAUCAUAUAUAAAUACGUUGAUCUCAUUA